UACGUAGGGCGCGAGCGUUAAUCGGAAUUACUGGGCGUAAAGCGUGCGCAGGCGGUUUUGUAAGCCAGAUGUGAAAUCCCCGGGCUUAACCUGGGAAUGGCGUUUGGGACUGGGUCGCUAGAGUGUGGCAGAGGGAGGUGGAAUUCCACGUGUAGCAGUGAAAUGCGUAGAGAUGUGGAGGAACACCGAUGGCGAAGGCAGCCUCCUGGGCCAGCACUGACGCUCAUGCACGAAAGCGUGGGGAGCAAACAGG
rnacentral:rRNA from 1 species